CACAGCAGCAAAAAAAAAGUUGUCUCUGGACAUUUUGCUCAGACCUCACAGUGAAACGGGACACAUUUUUAUUUUAUUUCUCACGACAAACUUUAUGCCUUCAGGUUGUCCAUCUCGCCACAUUUCUCGACCAUGCCUGCGCCACGGUCACAUGGGGCUUGUCGAUUCUGCAAACCCACAAGCAAAUUCCACACGAGCAAGUCCUUUCGGGUGCAAAUGAGACUUUUGACGACCUCCAAUAGCCACAUUUACUUGAGUUUUAGCCUGCCAAAGGUUUGCUUAAUGAAUUUGCUCACAGGCACGAUUACAGUGCAUAUAUAUACACACACCCUUGAGGUCAGAUUCGAUUUCUCAAUGUUGGAGCCACGAAUGAAAGACUUCACUUGAAGCAGAUGUGCUUCAACACACGGCCUUCCUUAUUGUCAGAACUGAAGCAGAAUAAAUCCGCUCGCAUGACUGCACCAAAAUCUUGAACUGUUGAUGGCAAGAUGCAUGACCUCAUCCCCGAUUGUUUCACUUCAAGGGACAUUGAGCCAAUUGCCAAGUGAUCUGUGGUGCUUACUUGUUUUCUUUUCUAUCAGCUAUUGUGGGGACUAUAAAAAUAAGCUUGUUUUUGUUGAACGCGCAGCCUCCAUCUCCCUGCCGUUAAGCCCGCGGAUUUCUCGACUCCUAACAAAAGUCGGGACUCAUAAGCGGAAUGCAGUCAAGGUGAAGGAAAGGAGAAGCUGAAGAACUCUUUUUUUGAGGAAGCAAUGUUUUUCCCUCGACAAAAUGCCUACAUAAUACAUCAGCGUGUGUGUGCGCGCUCGCGUGUGUAUAUCACCAAAGAGAGCUUAAUGUUUCAUUUGGCAAUUCAAUGAACUGGGACAAAGUAGUGACGGACUGUCAAUUCACUCGUUGUUUCUAAGCAACCAGGUGGGCUCUCUUUCAUGGCCACUUGGCUGUGAAUGUGUGUGAGUGUGUGUUUGUGGGGUACAUAUGUGUGUUGACGCUAAAAUUCAAGAUGUCAGAAUGCAGGACACCCAAAGCAGGCUGAGACGUUUCGUGGGAGAGGAUUGUCUUUCAGGCAGGGGCGGCGCUACAGUAUUAGCUUGCGCGUGUGUGCUUGCGUGCGUUGUUGUGCGUGUGUGUUCCCAUUACUGACACCUUUGGGUAGGAAGGGUUGAUGACUCAUUCCCUGAUCGAAAUAGGUGGAGCAAACAUGCACAAUAAAAUAUAGAAAGGCAUAACAAAAAACAUGAAACAACACCGGUUUAGGGGAUUAUCUACAAACAAUAUUUGGAAGUGAUCGACUUCGAACGUGGGUCAAUGAAGGUUCAAGGUUUUUAUUUUUAUGUUAUUUUUUACCGACCAUUUGAAUGAUGAGUACUCGGAGAAGUGACUUUAAGUUUUCAUCCAGUGAAAUGGAAUUACUUGAGCGCGCAACGUCUAUUUAUAUGUCGAUUGCCUGUUUUUUCUUUGGACUCAUGAGAAACAGCAGGCCAAACCCUCCAAUUUGAAACAGUAGCAUCCACUUUCACACGUGGAUGUCCAACACGGAAGAUGAGGAAAACCAGUUUGGGCUAGCUUAGAUGUGACAGCACGCUUGAUUAACUGACAUAAACCGCCACACACUGAGGCUGGCACUGAAUAGCACGUCUGCACACACACAAACACACACACGCACACACACACAGUCACACGCAUAAACCAACAAACACCCAUAAAGAGAACCGAGACGCACACUCGCAUGAAAAACAAUCAAACAUUUGGCUGCGUCAAAUCAAGUCGAGCACAAACGUUUCACUGCUUUAGCAACAAUGCAUACAUAAAUGACAGGAUAGCGUGUGGAGUCAGCCGCUGCCUCGGCACCAAAGGGCCUUGAGCUGCCAGAGCGCAAUCGAUGGAUCGACAAAUCAAUCGCUCAAUCAGCAAACCAAGCCAUCAUCCAUUAUUUGUCAUAACUCAGUGACGGCUAUUCAUCCUGUCUGAAGACACCAGAUAACGUAUACAGGCCAAAUUGGAGUGCGCACAACAAAAUGAAAACGGCUACCUUCAUUUUUUUUGUAGUUUCAGAACCAAACUAAAUCCGGGUGCUAAAGCUGAAGAAAACGUUGUCAGCGUCAAUCACACAAUAAACUCAGAAAUGACAAGAGCGCACAGACAAUGAGAAAAGAUGGGGGUAAAUCAAGAGAUGUAAAGACACGCGCAUGAAGGGAGUGGGGCUAGCAGGACAGCCGAAGGAGAGAAUGAGAAAUAUUGAUCUCAACAGAGCUUCUGAUCAGUCACUGUUGUAACGGUCCAUUAUUAGACUGUGGGAUCACGCCACACGGUGGCACCGCUUUAAUUUACGAGAUCAGUUGGGCACCUUUUUACAGAGCUUCUACGUGGAAGAAAAACUUCCCUCGCGAUCAUUGCGAGGGAACGCAAAGUUGUUGUUGUUUUUCUUCCAUAAGUGUUCUUCGGAAGUAAGGGAAACGGACAUAGUAAACCAGAGAGGCGCCACCGUGUGGCGUGAUCCCAUACUACAACAAUGGACCGUUACCCUGUCUCCAAAUGUGAAAACAGCCUCGUUCGUUACAUAUCUAAUCCCACGAUUAAGAUUUGACGGAGGUAUUUGUUUUGAACUAUUUGAAAAGGUCCCGAGUAAUUUUAGUGGGCAGAAGGCGUUCUCCCAGUGUCAUGUCGCGCCCCAAUUUCAUGCCGAGGACAAAUCGGCGUCUGCGGUCUUCAAGUGGAAAGUGGGCUCAGUUAAAGGCGAUUCCUGUUUGACAUUCUGCUCUGCAAAAUGUACAUGGGUGAUGAUGCAAAUGGAGAUGUCCCAUUGACCACCUGUGUCUGUGUCAUAAAGCGAAAA